UGUGGUAUGGGUAGCAUAAAAGUAUUUUACCUUCUUUUCUAAAAUUGGGGGUUAAAAAAAAAAGGUUUCUCUGAAAUUUGGUUUUGAAAUUUUAAACGGAACUUGACUUGUUCUUGAAAUGGUGAUACUGAAAGUGUGGCACACCGAGUCUCUAACGCCAAAUCUGUAAGUUCUCUGCUAGUGUCUAUUGUUUUAAGUUGUAAUGUGAUGCUGGAAAACUGUUAUAGAUGGUAGCAUUUUAUUGGAAAUAUCUGGUUAGAG
rnacentral:lncRNA from 1 species